rnacentral:rRNA from 1 species
GAAUGGCAUCACGAGGGUUACACUGUCUCCUUUCUCUAAUCAGUGAAACUAAUUUUCCCGUGAAGAAGCGGGAAUAAUUAUAUAAGACGAGAAGACCCUAUGGAGCUUUAAAUAACAUAACACUUGCUAAUUACCUAUUAUCUCCCGAUAUUUAAUCUUCAUCCAAGCAUUAUGAUUAUUAGUUUUAGGUUGGGGCGACCACGGAGCAAAAAUUAACCUCCACAUUGUAAAAUUUAUUUUUAAGCAAAAAGCUACAACUUUAAGCAUCAAUAAAUUGACAUUUAUUGACCCAAUAUUUUGAUCAACGAACCAAGUUACCCUAGGGAUAACAGCGCAAUCCACUUUGAGAGCUCUUAUCGACAAGUGG